CCCACUUAUAUUGUUGACAUCUUCCAUAUAAACAAACAUAGCUUCAUGUUGUCAUCUUCAUAAACUGCAAAAUAUCCCAUAAUAUGGAUGUACCUUGAUUUAGUUAAUUUCCUACUGAUAAACGUUUAGGUUGUCAAAUUUUCACUAUUAUAAACAAUUCUGUGAUGACCUCUUAUAUGUAUUUUUGGGCACAGAUCUUAUUAUCUACAUAGUAUAAAUUCCCCCAAAUUUCUGAGUCAAAGAAUAUAAAUUUUAGGGGAGGGUUGGAUAUAUUCUGCUGAUUGCUCUCCAGAAAGGACUAUAUGUGGUGACUUUCAGUGUUUUUUUUUUUUUUUUUUAAAGAUUUUAUUUUUUCCUUUUUCUCCCCAAAGCCCCCCGGUACAUAGUUGUGUAUUCUUCGUUGUGGGUUCUUCUAGUUGUGGCAUGUGGGACGCUGCCUCAGCGUGAUCUGAUGAGCAGUGCCAUGUCCGCGCCCAGGAUUCGAACCAACGAAACACUGGGCCGCCUGCAGCGGAGCACGCGAACUUAACCACUCCGCCACGGGGCCAGCCCCGACUUCCAGUGUUUUUUAACAGUAUGUCCUAGUUCUGAAUUUCAGUAAGGAGUCCUUGAUUACUAAUGUAACCUUGCUGUUCCUAACAUCUGGAUUAGAAAGGAUAUUUACAAAAAGUUUCGUACAGUAAUUUGAAUUUUUUUGCAGAGCCUUCUUCACUUUGUUUGAAAGUACUUGGUGAUCACAGUGUAUUAUUUACUACUUUGUGACUUUUGCAAGCUUCAGCUAACCACAAACGUGACUCUCCCUGACGUAUGUCUUUUUCAAUUCAGUGGCAAGUGCAUUUUCUCAAUUCUAUCGAACUGUGUCUUUCCAAACCUUCAGGAUUGCCAAGAUGAGUUAGGAAGAAACAGGAUCUGGAUCUGUUUCCUACAAAAGUGUCAAUAUUUGCCAAAACAAAGAGCAGGGAGUACCCCCAAUGGAAUGCCAUCUGUCCUUGUCUUUGAGAGCGUGCUGGAAGAUCUUUUCACAGCCAAGAGAUGAUUAUUUGGCAUAACUGAUACUGAAAAUCAACAAGGUGGCUUACAGAUCAGAAACUGGCUGAUGUAAAGACAUACUUUGCUAUGUGAAAACUGGAAGUAUAGAAAUGUGUUUCGUUUUAGAAUCUAUAAACUAGGGAUUGUUUACUUUACCAAAGUAUUUCCCACAGGAACAUUUUAAUCAGCAGGAUCGCCUGGUUGAUUUAAAUAUUCCGAUCAUUAACAAGUCAUUUUGUUGCACAGACUUUUAAGAAAUGAGCAGCUGAUAAGAUGAGACAUAAUUCCCCUCUUAUGGUUCCAUUAUUUCAACCACACUGUUUCUUAAGCAGUUAAGCUCAUCACUUUCCUCUAUCACUUAUGGAAACUCAGUUUGGUUGCAGUUUUAGGGCGGAGGCAUAACGCACAAGGCCCAGCUUCUGAAGUAUGGUCAGUUGCCUGACCUGAGUUCCAAAGGGUGGUCUUAGCUGCCUGGUUUCUCCUUUGGAGAAUACCCAGAUUCCUUUGAACGGCAACCCACAGAGUAAUUCAAGAGAUCGUCUUGGGUAGCAGUGAAAUUCUUUAAAAUUCAUUUGGCAGGUUUCAGGCUCCAUUUCUCCUCCUACAGAGUAUUGCUCAGUGGGGUGUUUGCCACUCAGAACUUCUAAUCCGUCUGUGUGUUGUCCAGCUAAUGGCGUUUGCAGUCCACUUGGGGCAGACAGACAAUAAACAAAUAAUUUGUCAGGGAGUGAUAAAUGCUUAAAAAAAAAAUAAAGCAGGGGAAAAGGGAUAAAGAGGAAGAGAGAGGUGGUAUGUGUGUGGGUGCACACAUCUGUGUUACAGAAGAAGGUAGAUAGGGAAAGUCUGACCUGAAGCAGAUGAGGGAGAGAACCACAAAGUUAACUCAGGGAGAGAGUAUUCCAAGUAGCGAGAAUAGUAAGUUCAAAGGCCCUGAGGCAGGAGAGUACCAGCUGUGUUCAAAGAAUAGUGGGGAGGCCAGUGCAGCAGGAAGGGAGAGCAGCAUCAGGUGCCAAGUCAUGCUGGAUAUCACGGGCCAUGGUGAGAAUUUGUAUUUUACUCUGAGUAGGAUGGGGAACUGCUAGAGGAUUUUGAAAAGAAAUUAACACAUGCAAAACACUUAACACACUGCAUACAGUAAGUACUCAAAAAAUGCUCACUUUUAUUUUACUUUCCUUGACUCUAAAGGUAAUCUCCAUUCUGCUUUAGAAGAAUAGUAUUUUCUUUUCUAAAUGUGGCAGAAAGGCUGGAAAGCAAAUGAAAAAUUCCUGGUCUUACAAUCUUUAGGUCCAAUUUUAGCAUUCUACAUCUCCACAGGUUUGAUUAUGAGAAAGUUACCCCAUGUUCAAGAUUUUAGGUCCUUCUUUUCCAUUCUGCUGCUCAGCAGUAUGUUUUUUUAAAAAACUUCUUGUUAUGGACAUUUUCAAAUUUAGUACGGAAGUAGAUGGGACACCCAGCCUCAGGCAAGUAUCUAUUCAUGGCUAAUCGUGUUUCCUCUAUACUGCCAUCUAUUUUCCACCCCUUCCUUACAAUGAAUUACUUUACGGUAAAUCCCAGACAUAGCUUUUUAUCCAUGGAUGCUUCAGUAUGUAUCUCUACACUCUUUCUUUACCAUAAUACCAUUAUCAUGCUUACAGAUUUAACGAUAAUAUCAUCAAAAAUCAAGUCAGUAAUUAGAUUUCCCUGGUUGUCUCAUUAAUGCUUUUUAAAAAUAGUUAAUUUGUUUAAAUCAGAAUCCAAACAUGGUCAUACUUUCCAUUUGGUUAAUAGGUCUUGUAAAUCUUUUAAAAUCUGUUCACCUUCCCUUUUUUUUUUUUUCCUUUUCUUUUCUUUGUUGGAGAAACCUGGUCAUUCGUUCCUUAGAUGUCCCUUGUUUUGGGUUUUGCUGAGUGCCUCCCUGUGGAGUUGUUGCAUGUGUUCGUUUUUCCUAUAAACUGGUGGUUAGUUCUAGAGACAUAAUCAAGUUGGAUUUUUUGGCAAGACUGCCUCAAACGAGGUGCUGUGAGCUUCCUGUUGCACCCCAUCAGGAGGCAUGUCCUGCCUAGCUGCUCUCUCUCCUCCAAUUUACCAUUUUAUCCAUAUUAAAGUGUACAAUUCAGUGACGUUUACUACAUUCACAAUGUUGUGCAACAUCACCACUCUCUAAUUCCAGAACUUUUCCAUCACCCCAAAAAGAAACCUAUACCCCUUAAGUAGUCACUCCCUGUCUCCCCUCCUCCUAGUCCCUAGCAGCCACUAAUCUGCUUUUUGUCUUUAUAGAUUUUGCUAUUUUGGAUAUUUCCUAUAAACGGAAUCAUGUACUAUGUAGCCUUUUGUGUUUGGCUUCUUUCACUUGGUGUAAUGUUUUCAAAGUUCAUCCACGUUGGAACAUGUGUCAGUACUUCGUUCCUUUUUAUGACUGAAUAGUAUUCCAUUGCAGACAUAUACCACAUUUUAUUUUACCCAUUCAUCAGUUGAUGGACAUUUUGGUUGUUUCCGUCUUCUGACUAGUGUGAAUAGUGAUGCUAUGAACAUUCAGGUACAAGUUUUUGCUUGAACACCUGUUUUGUAUUCUUUUGGGUGUACACCUAGGAGGACCUCCCUUUCAGUGAUGUUAUCAGUGGGUUCCCUUGGCGUCAGUCUCAUCCAUACAUGAUGAUGUUCCCUGUGGGCCUUUCAUCUAUGGAUUUUAGCACCAUUGCUGAUCACUGCCAAUUCCAGUAGGGUUUCAACAGCAUGGUUUUCAUGGAGGUCAAGGUGGUCUAACCAUUUUAUUUUCAAUUCACAUUAAAGCACCACUGGGCAACCACAUUUAUGCGAUUUUCUGAGGGGAAGAAAAAGAGAGAGGGAGGGAUUGGUGACCAAAAAGUGUGGGGGAAGCUGCAUACGAUGGAUCCCUCUUGCUGCAGAUUCCAGUGCCCACUCACAUAUUAAGGCCCCUGGGAAGUUCUGCAAAAAAGAAGACUGUUUAGCUUCGUUUAACUCUGUAUUCCCCAAGUUUAUUUGACUACAAACUUUUUUUUCUUUAUAAUUCUUAUUACUAUCCAUUCAAAUAUACUUUGGAGAAUACUGUUUUAGGGUCUAGGUUACUUAAAAGAACAUUACUUAUUAAUAUAUGCAUGUGUUUCUUUUUAAAAUUUUUUUUUAUUGAGGUAACAUUGGUUUAUAACAUUGUAUAAAUUUCAGGUGUAUGUCAUUCUAUUUCACCUUCUGUACAGACUGCAUUGUGUUCCUUACCAAAGUCUAGUUGCCAUUCAUCUCCGUACAAAUGUCCCCUUUUACUUCUUUCUCCCUCUUCCCACUCCCCCUUUCUGAGUGGUAACCAGCAGUCGAUUCUCUGUAUCUGUGUGUUUGUUUGUCUUCCACAUAUGAACGAAAUCAUACGGUAUUUGACUUUCUUCAUCUGACUUAUUUUGCUUAGCAUGAUACCCUCAAGGUCCAUCCAUGUUGUCACAAAUGUCAAGAUUUCAUCUUUUUCUUGUGACUGAGUAGUAGUCCAUUGCAUAUAUAUGGAUACCAAGUAUUCUUUAUCCAUCAUCCAUCAAUGGACACUUUAUUAGGUUGUCUCCAAGUCUUGGCUGUUGUAAAUAAUGCUGCAAUGAACCUAGAGGUGCAUAUAUCUUUUCAAAUUAGUAUUUUCAUGUUCUUUGGCUAAAUAUCCAGAAGUGGAAUAGCUAGAUCAUAUGGUAGUUCUAUUUUUAAUUUUUUUGAGGAAUCUUCGUACUGAUUUCCAUAGUAGCUGCACCAAUUUAUAAUCCCACCAGCCAUUAAUGAGGGUUCCCUUUUCUCUAUAUUCCCUCCAACAAUUGUUAUUUCUUGUCUUUUUAAUAAUAGUGAUUCUGAUAGGCAUGAGGUGAUAUCUCAUUGUGGUUUGAUUUGCAUUUCCAUAAUAAUUAUUGAUGUUGGACAUCUUUUCAUGUGCCUGUUGGCCAUCUGUAUAUCUUUGUAAAAAUGUCUGUUCAGAUCCUCCCAUUUUUUAAGCAGGUUGUUUGUUUUUUUGUUGUUGAGUUGUAUGAGUUCUUUAUAUAUUUUGGAUAUUAACCCCUUAUUGGAUACAUGAUUGGCAAAUAUUUUCUCCCAGUUGAUGGUUGUCUUUUCGUCUUGUUGAUAGUUUCCUUUGCCACGCAGAAGCUUUUUAAUUUGAUGAAGUCCCAUUUGUUUAUUUUUUCUUUUGUUUCCCUUGUCUGAGGAGACAUUAAAAAAUGUACUGCUAAGACUGAUGUCAGAGUACAUUGGCUGUGUUUUCUUCUAGGAGUUUUCUGGUUUCCAAUCUUACAUUUAAUCCCUUUUGAGUUAAUUUUUCUGUAUGGUGUAAGAUAGUGAUCUGCUUUCAUUCUUUUGUGUGUAGCUGUCCAGUUUUCCCAACACCGUUUAUUGAAGAGACUUUCCUUUCUCCAUUGUAUGUUCUUGGCUCCUUUGUCAAAAAUUGGCUAUCCAUAAAGGUGUGGUUAUUUCUGGGGUCUCGGUUCUGUUCCACUGAUCUAUGUGUCUGUUUUUCUGCAGUACCAUAUGCAUGUGUUUCUUAGCUGUCUGGCACCAACCUGACAGUCUCCUGAAGCUUAUAUUCACUUAGUGGCCAUAAACUGACUGUAUUCUUAUAAAAGCCCUGGGCAGCAGAAUUGGCAAUAUAUCUGGCAAAGCUUCACUUAGAAACUCUGAAUUGAGAUUAUGUCCCUGGGGAUGAAUGCUUGAGCCAACAAAGAAUAUGUCAGUUUUACUUGUCACCUCCAUCUUAUAGUGUUUGAUGGACAUCUGUGAUAAACCUUAGAGAAGUGCCGUAUGGAUGUGUACCCAAGGACGCCAGUGGUACUUAUAGUUCCUCUCUCUGCUCUUCAUUGCUUUACUCCACACAUCCUCCAAACCACAUCUAGGGUGGCUAUUCCACCUUAUGUUUCCCGGAUCAUACUGCUGAGGACUCUGUCUCACCACCUACACAAUCAGCGUGGUUAGAUGAGGCUAAACAUGGAGGUCAAAAUGGAGAGAGUAUCUGGCGGAUUCCUUGGUUGACUUUCCGAGGUCAGGGACCUGACAGUGCUCCUUUCAUAUGGCCUUUAGGAAGAAGCGUCCACUUGAAUAUGUUUCACUUACAUAAGUGACACAUGAAACUUGAUAAGUUUGCUUUUAAAAAGCUCUUAUGAGUCAGCUAGCUGUGCAGAGUGCUGACUGAGUGACCUGCACCUUUGAGAUUGGAAGCAGAAGAUGGUGCCUGCCAGAUAGAUACUUUUGGUUUUUGUGAGGAGAAAGGUGGUGAGAUGCUACUAAGGCCAAACACGUGACUGCCUCCUUCUUAUGACAGUCUCCCGACAUGGUCUCAGGGCCGAGUCUAGGUACUGCCCCAAACCGUAUGUUCUGAGGGGAGAAGAGAUUCCACAGUAGAAAGAAGUUGCCUCAAGAAUGAGAGGACAACGUCAAACGUACUGUCAAUAAUUCAUCAAAUGACAGUGAGAAAGCACCUGGUUCAGGUCAUGCCGAGCAGCCAACAGAUCCUGGGCCAAGAACACCAACGGCAGAAGGAAGCAGACCCGAGCCAACUUGCUCAUGAGCUGAAAUAUUCAAAUGUGGAUACAAGGCAGUUACCUAAUUCUUGCACCUGUUCUGAAUCAGCACGCACUGUAAUGUUGAACCAAGAUUUGACAUGAUGCCAGUGACGGCAGCAGAAGCAGAAAAUUUGCUGUGACACCACCCAAAUGGUGCCAGGGAAGGGACGAAGAGAACCCAUUGGGCUCUGCCAUCAGCUGUGGAGGACUUUCAGAAGCCUUUCUCCUACUGGCAGGGAAGACUUGGGCCGAUGCCUGGCUUCCUUGGAGUAGCUUGCUAAAUAAAUUGGCAUGGACCCACAUUUAAAAAUUUGCCAGCUAAAGAUGUUUUAGGUGUGUCAGUGGGGUUUUGGUUUCAUGAUUGCUGCUAAGAAAGUUUGAGCAACUCACAUACAAUUUCACUGAUUUAAUUACUGCUUAGAAAGGAAAUUACCAGAUUUAGGAGCCUAGGAAAAGACAUCAGCAUCAUGCCUCACAUUUCUCAUGGUGUUCAAGCAAGAGUCAGUAUUGAUCAAAACUUUUCGUCUGCCUCCAGCGGUUUUAAAGUGACAUGUAAUUAGCUGACUUAUUUUGUGGUCCCUUCUUCAUGACUGUGUGUUGGACAGUAUCAAAAGACAUCUGCCUGUGGCUGUUUAUAGGAAUCUCGAAGCUCAGUGUCUUGUGGUCUUCUAUAAAAGGUAAUUGAAGAACUUUUGUUUGCAGAAUAUGGAAGUGCUUUAAAAUGCUUGUGGGAGAAAAUCUUGAAAGGAUGGUAGACCCAUUUAUAGGAGAGGUGGCAAACUGUGACCUGUCUGGACUUUAGAAAAAAAAUGUAUGCAUCUGCUUGAAGCAGCUUUUUAUAAGUGGAAUGCAUGACUUACUUUAUAAAUAGUAAAACCUAAGCCUUGGAAGCAGUUUUGAUUCUCCAGGGACCACAACUUAUGUUAAAAGGGCGAAUAUGGUUCAUGAUAAGAUCUGAAUGGGUUAUGGAAUAAUUAGACAGAAAACCCAACUCAAAAUAAAUGUUGACUGAGGUUCUAAGACUGAGCAUCCCUCUGGCAGGUGGUGUGUCUACCAUGUGGAUGUAUUUGAACCAACAUCACAGAGUGGGAGAGGAUCUUAGCUGUCAUCUUCUCUACCUUCCCCAGCUUCCAGAUGGGAACCUUUGACCAUCUAGAUGGUUGAACAUGCCCAGGACCUCACAGGCAGCCUAUCUCAUGGGUGCCUGCCCAGAUCCCCUGUAGCCUCUAACCACUACUGAUUCUGUGGAUCUGGAUCCUUCUGCAGUUGUUCACUUAAUCAAAGAGGAUGAACUUCCUAGAGAGAAGAGAACAGUGCUUUAGCCAAGCAAAGAGCAGUAGAUGUGCUUCUGAACUAGACUCUCCAAAGACCCCAUGAGCACUUUUCCAGACCAGCACCCCAUCGCAUCCUGCUUUUCCUCCCUUUCAGUUUCAAGACCUUUUGGCAUCCUGGAGGUCUACCACCAGCUGGCAUCCGUUAGCCAGUGGUCUUAAAAGGGAUGCCUAGCAAAGGAAUGCAAUACGGCCGGUAUAGUCUGGUCAGAGCUCGCUUUUCUGGGCAGUAUACUUUUAGAUCGUUAAGUAAGUUGAGAGAUUCACCCACCUUCUUUGGGCUUUAAUUUAUUUCCUGAACAUCUUUUACAAAUUAUUAUUUUCAAGAUGUAAACUACAUAAAAUAGUACCACCACUUUGGAAAACAACUUGGCAUAGUAAAGUUCACCCAGCAAUUCCAUUUUUAGGUAUCUUCUCUACAGAAUCUCUUGCAUGUGUGUACCAGGAGACAUGUAAAAGAAUGUUCAUAGUAGCAUUGUCUGCAAUAACAACAAAAACAAACAAAUGAACAAAACAACUGGAAAUAUCCCAAAUGUCCCUUGACAGGAGAAUGAAUAAAUGAAUUGCUCAUGCAUUUUUUUAUUGUGGUAAAAUAUACAUAACAUAAAAAUUUACCAUUUUAACUAUUUUUAAGUGUACAGUUUUGUGGUAUUAAGUUUAUUCACAUUGUUGCGCAACUGUUACCACCAUCCAUCUCCAAAACUUUUUCAUCUUCUUCAGCUGAAACUCUGUGCCCAUUAAACACUAACUCUCCAGUCCCUUCUCUACCCAGCCCCUGGCAACCGCUGUUCCACUUUCUGUCUCUGUGAAUUUGCCUGUUCUGUGUACCUCAUAUAAGUGGAAUCAUACAAUAUUUGUCCUUUUGUGACUAGCUUAUUUUACUUGUCUAACGUUUUCAAAGUUCAUCCAUGUUGUUGCAUGCAUCAGGAUUUUCUUCCUUUUUAAAGCUGAAUAAUAUUCCGUCGUUUAUAUAUACAUAUCGCAUUUUAUUUACCCAUUUGUUGAUGAAUGCUUGGAUUGCUUUGGCCUUCGGCUCUUGUGAAUAAUGCUGCUAUGAACGUGAGUGUAAAAAUAUUUGGUUAAGUCUCUGCUUUCACUUCUUUUGAGUAUGUACCCAGAAGUGGAAUUGCUGAUCAUAUGGUAACUCUGUUUUGAGGAAUCAUUCUAUGUACUGUUUUUCACAGUGGCUGCAUCUGUUCAUUCAUUCAUUCAUUCUUUUUUUUUUACUGCCUGUAAUAUUCUGUAGUAUAACUAUAAUGUAAUUUAUCAGAUAUUGCCAAACUUUUUUCUAAAGUGAUUUGUUGAUAUAUUUACCUACCAGUAGUGUAUGAAGAGUUCCUUGUAAUCUACAUCUUUACCAACACUGAGUUUUAUUGGGUUUCUUCAUUUUUGCCAAUUUAGUGGUUUUUCGGUGAUUAUCUUACCAUAGUCUUAAUUUUUAUUUCCCUGAUUACCAUUGCAAUUACUCAUAAUUUUAUAUGUUUGAAAGCUUUGUUUUUCACAUAGACAUCUUUAAUCCAUUAAGAAUUAAUUUUUGUGUAUGAUGUAUGAUAGGGGUCUAAUUUCAUUCCUUUCUACGUGGAUAACCAAGUAUAUGGGUUCCAUCUUUUUCCCAUUGCCAUUCAUCUCAUUUGUAAAGUUUCCAUGUAUGUUUGGUCUGCCUAUGAGCUCUCUAUCCGUUCACUUGGUUAAUUUGUCCACCUACGUUAAUGGCAUCUGUUUUCUUUACCAUGAGGUGAUAAUGAUGUAUUGAGACUGAUGCUGGGUUAAUUGGGCAUUUAUUGUCCAGUAUUGUAAUUGCACCUGGUUAUGGACUAGGUGGGGUUAGAGUUGGCCUGCUGGCUGACUAAAGUAUGGUCCGUGCAGUCAUGGGGCUCUCAGACACGUAUUUCAAUCCUGAUGAUGCAAGGUGAGAAGUGUGGUAAUAGAGGAAUGGCUGAAGUGCUAAUAAGAAGAAAUGAUGAAGGAAACAACUAAUUCCAGUAUGAAGGCAUCCAGGAGGGUAACAGUCAGGGAGGUUGAACAUUUCAAAUAGGAAGUAUAUGAUAUCAUGGUUGAGAGCCGAGUUCUAGAGGUAGACAAACUCAUAUUUGAAUGUGUGACCCUGACAAAUUCUUGAGACCUCACUGAGGCUCAGCUUCCUUAUCUAUUCAACAAGGGUAAUAAUAAUACCUCCCUCAGAAGGUUGUUGGGAAGAUAAAAACAGACCGUGUAUCAGGAGCACUUAGCUAAGUGCCUGACACAUUGGAAGUACUCAAUAAAUGUAAACCUAUUAAUUAAUUCAUUCAAUAAUAUUAACUGAGCACCCACUGUCUGCCAGACAUGGCAAAAGGCUAUAAAUGCAAGUAUGAGCAAAACAAAUGGUCUCUACCCUCACGUAGCUUUCAGUCAAGUGGGAUAGAUAGAUGCUCAUAAAAUCAUCACACAAAUAUAUCAUUAGAGACUUUGACGAGUACUAUAACGGGAAAUUAUGGCCAACUAGGACAGAACAGAAGAGGGAAACCUGACUUAUGAUUAUUAUUUGUAUUAUCACGACUUCUGAGCUGGGACUUGAAGGAUGAGUGGUUUAUGGGCGUGGCAGGCAGGCAAGGUCAUUCUGGGCACACAGAACUUCAAAAGAGAGGGCAUGGAGAUGUGGAAGUUUUACAUCAGGUCAAGGGCAAGGGCCUGGGCACCCCUCACUUCCUGCCCACCUUUCCCAGAGGACAGGCAGGAGAAGGAGGUUGAGUGAUUACCUCUGGCCCCUAAACAUAUAUUGUGGCUCAAUGAACUCCGAUCUUUGGUCACUGUGAAAAGUUAUUCUCAGUGCCACUGACCAGCUCCUUGGCAAUAACAGACUGAAAAUGAAUAGUGAAAAUGGCUCAGGGGAGUUGGAUAACAAUGAAGUCUUUUUGACGUUAAUGCUGGUCAAAAAAGUAUCUAGCACCGGCUUCAGUUGGGCAUUCCAAAGCUCAAAGAUAAAAAGAAGUGCUCAGAGAAAAUAAAGUUAAAGCUUUUUCCGAGACAUCUGUGAGGCAUUUUUACAAGCUGAUGGUGAGUACUGUUUUCCAUUUAGAGUAGAUGUGGCAAAGAGUUAUAUUUGCAAGAAGGGAAAAAUAGAUGAUUGUGAGGGGUUUUUCUGGAACAAGUACAAUUCAGUAGCUCUCAAAUUGUAGUGUAUAUCAGAAUUCCCCCUGGAAGCCUGUUAAAAAUUUAGACUCCCUGGCCAUCCCCAAGACUCAGUAGGUGUUCCCUGGGCCUAGGGCUCUGUAUUUUUAACUAGCUGCUGGAGGACACCCUUUGAAAAACCUUGCAGACUUAGUAUCUUUAACUCUUUCCUUUCUUUUAUCUUUGUUUGCAAAUUCUUUUAGAAGAGUUUCUGAACAGGCUUUCUUUUGCAUUCCCCCUUCCCUGACCUCACUGUCAGCUGGGGGUCCCAAGCACAAUUGCCUGGGCAGGUCUCAUGAAUGUGCGAAACUGGGAGGGUAGGAGAAUAGGAAUUAAGCUGGUUGGGCGGGCAGCCUAUCUGUCUAGUCACUUGGCUUUUCUAAACAUUGUGCAAGCCAAGAACACAUCCCUGAGAGCUUUUUGCAUCUCAGUGCUGCCUGUUGGCCACCCAACCACCCAUUCAAACAAUUGUGUAGAAGAUAAUGGUGCAGGUUCUGGCCUCAGCUGACUUCAGCUGGAGUCCUAGCUCCACCACUUCCUAACAGGUAAUCUGACGAGUUCCUGAACCCCUUCAAGCCCUUCUCUUCUCAUUUCUAAGACUGGGCUUGGCUCAUCUGGCUUUUGCAAGGAUGUAAAAAGGUAAUACAUGAAUAUGUCAGGUACAGGGGCUAGCCAUUUGGGGACUUAAGUGAGUGAGAUUAAGUAGAGUGAACAGGUAAAAUUGAAGGGAUAUUUCUGUGCAUUGUCACAGACUGUGGAGAGCAACAGGCAGACAUCCAUCUCAUUGUCCAGCACACAGCCCCUCUCAUUCUGCCCUAUGUACUUUUUUUGUCUAAUUGAGGUAUAAUUAACAUAUGACAUGAUAUUAGUUUCAGGUGUAUAACCUAAUGAUUCAAUAUUUGUAUAUAUUGCAAAAUGAUCACCACAAUAAAUCUAGUUAACAUCCGUCACCAUACAUAGUUACAGAAUGUUUUUUCUUGUUAUGAGAACUUUUAAGAUCUACUCUCUUAACAACUUUCAGAUAUGCAAUACAGUAUUAUUAACUAUAGUGGCCAUGCUGUACAUUACAUCCCCAUGAUCUAUUUAUUUUAUAACUGGAAGUUUGUACCUUUUGAGCACCUUCACCCAUUUGCCCCCCGACCCAACCCUACCCCCACCUCUGGCAACUACCAAUCUAUGAGCUAGGUUUUUUUUAGCUUCCACAUAUAAGUGAGAUCAUAUGGUAUUUGUCUGUCUCUGUCUGACUUAUUUCACUCAGCAUAGUGCCCUCCAGGUCCAUCCAUGUUGUAGAAAGUGGUCAGAUUUCCUUCUUUUUUAUGGUUGAAUAAUAUUCCUCUGUAUAUAUACAGCACAUCUUCUUUGUCCAUUCAUCCAUCGAUGGGCACUUACAUUGCUUCCACUUCUUGGCUGUUGUGAAUAAUGCUACAAUGAACAUGGGGGUGCAGAUAUCUUUUCAAAUUACUGUUUUUGUUUUCUUUGGAUAAGUACCCAGAAGUGGAAUUGCUGGAUCAUAUGGUAGUUCUAUUUUUUAGUUUUUGAGGACCCGCCAUACUGUGCUCUCUGUACUUUUGCAGUUAUUUCUCUUCCUAUAAACUUCCAUUGUCUCCACACCCGUAUACAUUUAACCAAAUUAUUUUCAGAGCUCAACUGAAGUCCCACUUAUGGGAAACCUUUCGCUGUGGCAAUAACUUCAGCUCUCACUAAUGUUUCUUUCUCUAGUUUACUAUCGCGAUUUUCAUCCACAUCUGUACCAGUUAGGUUCCGAUUGCGUUCUGCCUUAUGGGUGUGUUUUGUCAUUUCAUCUAAAACAAACUCUUGGAGGUCUGGGUAAAUAUUUUGCUUCCAAUAACUGCAGGAAAAACCUAUAUAUGUGAAAGGGCGAUAUAAGUUAGCAUUGACCAACUUAAAGUAAUUUUUUUUUGCUUCAUAAAGAGCCAAGGCUCUGAAUUUUCAUAUAAUUCUCACAUAUGAAUUCUCAUAUAAUUCUCAAAGAAUCAUGCAUUCUUUGUAUCCAAUUUAUUCAGUCAUGUAUUCCUGUGCAUUAUAAAUACAGAAAUAUGAGAAAUUCAUUAGCAACCUAGAUCUACCUCUUUCUCCUCAGUACACACCACACACACACACACACACACACACACACACGCACACACACAAAGGAGGGGAAUUGAGGGCCAAGAUUAUAAUACGAUAUUGGUACUGGGCCGUUAAUCUCAGCAGUUCUCACCCCUGGCUGGUUUCCUCUCUCCUCUCAUGUGCAAACGUGCUGAUCAGGGAGGUGUAACCCUCACUUGCAACCCUUUCCUGGUUGGUGGUGGAUGGAUCUGGAGGCUGCUUGAGGCUGUCCUUGUCACUGCCCCCCUGUGGCUCCACUCUGAGAGGGAGGCUUCUCGCCCUGUUCUUUAAACAUUUUGCUUAGAGACUCUUCUCUUCCCACCCCAAACAGAGGAACACUCUCUCUGAGCAACAGCGUUCUCAGCCAGCAGUGGACAGUCUGCACUGAAUGUGCUCACAGCUUCCCAGGAGCUGGGCUGGGCUCAGGGUUGUGGUGGGACACACCCCUGUGCACUUGUCUUUACCUUCCUCUUUUGUCUUGAAAUAAAACACACAGCUUUCAAAUUUCCUGUACGUUAGUUUUUUCUCUUCUGGGGACACUCUUUCCAAAGGGCGGCUUUCAGGGCGCUUAACCUUGGGAUUUGGGGGCUAGAUUUUUGUUCUCCAACUCCCUUCCCUUUUCCACCUGGGAAGUGCACAGUAUUUCAGGCACUGCGACCUCUAGAGGCUGGUUAUGGCAUCCCAGUUAAAUCCAGUGAAAUUUCUCAUUACAUUUUUUUUUUUUUUAAGGAAGAUUAGCCCUGAGCUAACAUCUGCUACCAAUCCUCCUCUUUUUUGCUGAGGAGGAUUGGCCCUGAGCUAAUGUCUGUGCCCAUCUUCCUCUACUUUAUAUGUGGGACGCCUGCCACAGCAUGGCUUACCAAGCAGUGCCAUGUCCGCACCUGGGAUCUGAAGCAGCGAACCCUGGGCUGCCGAAGUGGAACGUGUGCACUUAACUGCUGCGCCACCAGGCCAGUUCCUCAUUACUUCUUGACCCCAAAUAAAAUACCCAAUGUAGGCAGCCUGUGGUGAAGUGGGUCAGGGAAAGGGGUGAACCUUGUUUGAAAGUUACUGUUUCUCUCAGAAGAAAAUUCUUGGCUUUAACUCCAACAACCAGUUUCUCUAGUACACCUUCAGGUGAAGUUGGACUGCCCUGUCAUGCAACUUUCUGAGACCCAAACCACCUAAUUUUCACAGUCUGGAUUCCUUGUUUGUAUUGAGAGAAUCUCUCCAUAAGUUUGUCAAACCCUGAAGCUGGCUUGAUUUCUAGGCUGGCUUGAUUUUAUCCUUUAGAAAAUAUCUUACUCAAUGGGGAAAAAAAAAGCCAUGACAAUCUUUCACCCUCCGUGGAUAUGUCCUCAUAAACUCAUCCAGUGGCAGCACAACUUUUUGUUGUGGUCCUCUGGUGGAUGAGUGAAAAGAACCUGAGGCUUUGCAAAGUUGUCAGGAGGAGGAAGUUGAGGAGGACCGGAGAUCUCCAGACCUGGCCUUUGCUGGAGAACAGGGGCAUUUCCCAGGACCAUUUCUCUGCAAAACGUGGCUCACAGCACUGCACUUCAGAGCCAGAGCCAAAGACCACGUGAAGUCGCCUGUCCCGAGGAGAGAAAAUGACCUGGUGUUUUUUAGCUAUGAGGUUGCUACUACUCACCUUGAGGGAGAAAUUCACAUUAGUUUAACCAACCCUAUGUGCUUCCAAUUCAAUUAAAAAAACCUGAUGUUGUCAAAUAGAAACAUAGGCCUUUACUCAUUUCUCAAGUAGAAUGAAAUGAAAUUGAUUGUCUAUAAAAUAUUUAUCAGAUCUAGGCUAGUGUUUGAAUUAGAAUAUCUCCUGCAGGCCUUAAAAUGUCCUCUCUCUGCUUAUUUCAUUAUUGAUUAGGCAGACAAAAUUUUUACUUAAUGUGGUGACCAUAAUGUGUUUACGGGGAUUAAUUUACUCACUCUUGAGGAUUAAUUUAAUUCUUUUAUGUUAGUCGUUUUUUCCUGGGACUUUUUUUUCCCCAAAGGGUCACAUCCAAAUUUAUUAAGACUGUUAUAUGGUUCACAAUAAUUUGGGUGUAAGUGAAUAAUUUAUGCCUGUGUUUGCCAAGCCUGGCUGCCCAUCAGAAUUAUGUGGGGAGUGUCUGAAAAGUACAGAUUCCAGGGUGUCACCACAGACUCAGUGAAGCAGAAUCGCUGAAGGUACGGCCUGGGAAUUCUUCCGUUUACAGAUGCUCCUCAGUGAUGCAGGUGCAGCAGCCAGGCCCCUCUUAGUGGACUCGGGUUUCGGGAACUGAUCAACAUAGUUUAGUCCUGCGUAAUUUUAAGGUUAACAUGUUAUUGUCAUUAAGUGUAGAGAAUUUUCUGUUGCUAACACCACAUGUCCUUAUUUCUUUGCAUCCUUCUGUCCAUGAGAAUUACCCAAGCACCCCUUCUUACAUGAGAAGUGAAUUUCAGAGGAGGAGGACAAGCCAUACGAGGUGAAGGUGGUUCUGAGUGCAGCCGUGUUGUCACUGUGGAUGGAGGAGCUAGCUAGAGCAAGCAGACCAGCCACCUGAUGAGCUCUCUCUCUCUCCUGCCGGUCUGGUCUAGACUAAGCUCUUUGGGUCAGCAUCGCUCCAUUUGACUGGGUCCCUGAAGGCCCUCAGGAAAGAUAGGUUGGGUUACGUGCCAGCAGAAUUCACCAUGUUCAGUGAUGUGAAUUGGUACCUAGACACAGGGCUUGAAAAAUACUGAUCUGUAAAGUUACUUGAUGAGUAGAGACACAGUUAUACACCAUUUAAAAGCUCUCAAGACUAAAACACUCAAUUAUAUCUCAAUUAAAACACGACAAGCACAAUCACAGUAAUGACAACAAAAACACUAAAAAAACUAAAGUUUUUAGCUUAUGUCAAUGAAUAGGCUGUCUCCCCCUCAUGUCAAUGAAUAGACAUUACUGAACAAAGGCCAUCCAUCUAUUUGAACUAAAACUUAGUCUCUGGGUUUGAUCAACGAUUUCAUGCAAAUAAACCUAUCUAUUAGAAAAGCCUUAUAUGUGGUACAAAAAGUAAAUCACAUUGAAAGGCGUGCGUUUGAGGGGCACAUGGCAAAUUCCAACUGUACAAAAGGCCUAAGAUGAAAAAUAAAGCUCCUUCUCAUCCUUUCUAGGUUUUGUUUGUUAGAGACACUCACUGAGAUCAAUUUCUUGGCUAUGCUUUGAAAAAUAUUAUAUGCUUAUAUCAUAUACCACCUCUUACAUGUAUAGGCAGCCUCUUAAACAAGUUGUUUCCAGCCUUUUUACUAUUAUAAAAAAUGCUCUGGUGAACAUAUCCACGCACAUAUAUACAUACCUGUCCUAUGAGCCUCUGAACCCAUGGGGUAGUGUGUUUGAAAGAUACAUUUCUGGAAGUGGAAUUAAUGGGCUCAACGGAUAUAUGAACACUUAGUUUUGACAGACAGUCCAAAAUGUCCCCGCAAGGGUUGCGCCACUUUACCAGUCAUGAAGAGUUUGAGAGUCAUCUUACUGAAUGCUCUUGUUUCUAAUAGUUUUUCUGUUGAUUUGCUGUUUGUGUGUUUUUCCAGUUAUAUGAUACAUCAUCACAGAUAGGGAUAUCUUACCUCCUUAUUUCCAAUUUUAAUACCUGUCUUUCUUUUGCAUUGGCUAAUAAUUCUAGAGCAAUGCUAAGCAAUAGCAGUAAGAGUGGGCAUCUUUGUCUUUUUCCUGACUCUAAUGGGAAAGUUUCCAUUAUUUCCUUAUUAAAUAGGAAAAUUAAAAAAACUUUUUCUCUUUACUGAGAAUUUUAAAAAAUCAGAAAUGAAAUGUUAAGUUUUAUCAAAUACCUUUCUGGGAUCUAUAUUAAAUUAAGACUGCUCAGGGGGCUGUCCCAGUGGCACAGCCAUUAAGUGUGCAUGUUCCACUUCAGCAGCCCGGGGUUCGCCGGUUUGGAUCCCGUGUGUGGACGUGGCACGGCUUGGCGGGCCAUGCUGUGGUAGGCAUCCUACAUAUAAAGUGGAGGAAGAUGGGCAUGGAUGUUAGCUCAGG
rnacentral:lncRNA from 1 species